rnacentral:rRNA from 1 species
GACGAACGCUGGCGGCGUGCUUAACACAUGCAAGUCGAACGGAAAGGCCCUGCUUUUGUGGGGUGCUCGAGUGGCGAACGGGUGAGUAACACGUGAGUAACCUGCCCUUGACUUUGGUAUAACUUCAGUAAACUGGGGCUAAUACCUGAUCGGUGCUCCUGCUGCAUGUUUGUUGUUUUAAAUUUUCGGCGGUUGGGGAUGGACUCGCGGCUUAUCAGCUUGUUGGUGGGGUAGUGGCUUACCAAGGCUUUGACGGGUAGCCGGCCUGAGAGGGUGACCGGCAACAUUGGGACUGAGAUAAGGCACAGACUCCUACGGGAGGCAGAAGUGGGGAAUAUUGCAAAAUGGGCGGAAGCCUGAUGCAGCAACGACGCGUGCGGGAUGACGGCCUUCGGGUUGUAAACCGAUUUCGCCUGGGACGAAGCGUGAGUGACGGUAAUGGGUAAAGAAGCACCGGCUAACUACGUG